CUGCCCUGCUUCGUUCUCGUUCCCAAUCCCAGCCUCACAGGCCUGCCCAAUCCCUAGACUACGCGCCGGCGGGCAGCAGAGGCAUGCCCAAUCAGCAGAGGACGGCGGCGGCUAGCGGUCGACGGGCGGAGGCGGCCGAGCGCAGUUGUGGGGCAGGCAGAGGCAGCGGAUACCGCUAGCAGCCGGCGGCGGCGGCCAACGGGCAACGGGCGCGCCGGCGCGGGACCGUGACGGGCUGACGGCGGUCGACUCGGCCAGACGGCCAGUCGGCCUCGGCGAGCGGCGAGCGCGGAGUGCUGGAGCGCAGCUGCGCACUACACAGGUUCAAAUCAUGAAGAGGAAGGGCAGUAGUGUUAUUACUGAUUUGAGGUCUUUUCUGCAAAGAACUGCAAAGAAAAAACAAUCUGAGCCAGAGAUUGUUACUCCAUUUAGUACCAAUGAAAGCCAAAUGAAGUUGGUGGUAUUCCAAGGCCAGAGUGACACUGGAACAAGCUCAGUUCAACCUCAACCAGUGAGAGAUGAGCAGCGGCGCCCAGUUGAACCCCCAAUAGCAGAAGAUGAUGAAUCUGAAUCCAGUGACAGUGAUGAAGACGAUAAUGGUUAUGACAUUGAACAAGAUCCCGGAUUGAGGGUUCCUAUCUCAAGCUAUCCUAUCAAUGACCGAGAUUCAGUUAGAAGGACGCUCAUUGCAAUGGGGCCAUGACAACCAAAAAUAAAGAAGGAGGAUUUCCCCCAACAUAAUUGUCGAGGUAUGCGCCGGUUCCAACCCAACUGGUUUGAUGAAUUCAACUGGCUUGAGUAUAGUGUGCAUAAAGAUGCUGCUUAUUGCUUUGUUUGCUAUUUGUUCAAAGAUAAUUGUGACGUUCGUGGUGGAGAUGCUUUUGUUGAUGGAGGGUUUCGAAAUUUGCACAUGAAAGCUAGAAUCCGUAAGCAUAUUGGUGUUGUUAAUAGUUCUCAUAAUAAAGCUGAAGAGAAAUAUAAAUUUUUCAUCAGGCCUAAGACAUCAAUCCGCGAGUCCUUUGCAUCAAACACUGAACAGUUCAAGGUCAAGUACUCCAAUGCAAAGAUCAAGAGCUUUCUAUAGAGGUGACCACCGGUUUCAUGCUGAUAUGUUUUUAAGUAUCAUUGAUAGACAAGUUCAAGAGCUUAAUAAUAGGUUUGAUGAGGUAAACACAGAGCUUCUUAGAUGCGUGGCAUCAUUCAAUCCAGCCAACUCAUUUUCUGCUUUUAAUUUUGAGAACUUGGAAAGCGUGCUAAGUUCUAUCCUCAUGACUUUGAAUUUGAAGAAAUGAAUCAACUUUCUUUUCAACUCAAGCGAUAUAUCAAUGAUGUGAGGAGUGAUGAAAAGUUUAAAAAUUUGAGAAGUCUAGCAGAGUUAUCUAUGAUGCUAGUUAAAGAAAGGAAGUUUCCUCAGUAUGAAACUGUUUAUAAACUUCUCAAAUUGGUGCCACUUCCUCCUGUUGCAACUGCUGGUGUUGAAAGGAUCUUUUCUAUAAUGAAUAUUGUCACAAAAACAAGAAAAGAAGCAAGGUGGGGCAGAGAUAUAUGAAUGGUUGCUUGGUCACAUUCACUGAAAGGGAAUUCUUCUUGCAAGCUAUGGAUCAGAACAUCAUCACUUUAUAUUCAAGGCAUGAAAGAUCGGAAAGUUAAUCUAUAGGCUGUAAGCUUUCUUAUUAGUUUGCUGUUUUGUCCUCUAUUUAUUUCAGAUGUUGAAACUCAUCCAUCUGUUGAACAACUUCAAGCUUGGAUCAAUUUUAUUAAUCGAUGAUGUUGGCACUCAA